CUUGCUUGGGGUACUCGAGUGGCGAACGGGUGAGUAAUACGUGGGUAACCUGCCCUCUUCUUUGGGAUAAGCCCCGGAAACGGGGUCUAAUACCGGAUAUUCUGCUUCUGCCGCAUGGUGGGGGUUGGAAAGGUUUUCGGUGGGGGAUGGGCCCGCGGCCUAUCAGCUUGUUGGUGGGGUGAUGGCCUACCAAGGCUUCGACGGGUAGCCGGCCUGAGAGGGUGACCGGCCACAUUGGGACUGAGAUACGGCCCAGACUCCUACGGGAGGCAGCAGCC
rnacentral:rRNA from 1 species